rnacentral:sRNA from 1 species
GGAUGUGAGGACGAUCUGGCUGUGACAUCUGCCACCUUCAGCGAUUGCCAGGACUGCCUUGGCUGAUCUGGCUGGUGUGGCAGCUGUCCCCUCUUCCUUCCUCACCCCCAACCCCAGCAUCCCCCUUCCUUAUUAGGCAAUAUUUUAAAAUAUUACACUUUUUUUUUGAAAAAGGUAAGCCUGACAAAAUAAUCCAUGUAUUUAAUCACUGUCAAAGCCUUUAGUUUUAGAGAAGAACACGUCUUGUUCUAUAGAGAUCUUUCACUGCAGUGAGAGUGUUU